GACGAACGCUGGCGGCAUGCCUAACACAUGCAAGUCGAACGCGCAGCACAUACCACAGUUUGCUCCAUCAUAGACUGUGAGUUGACAACGGGUGAGUAACGCGUAGGAAACCUACAAGGGAGCGGGACAUCAGUAAUGGCAACGAUAGCUAAUAACGAAUAAUAGUGAUUCUUGCAAGAUAAUUCAUUCAUCGGAUCAACUACACCACUACCAGAUGGACUAGCGAUGUAGUAGUUAGUAGGUGAGGUAACGGCUCAACUAGUCGACGAUACACAGCCGACCUUAGAGGGUGAUCAGUCACUCGUGGGAUGAGACACGGCGCAGACUCCGACGGGAGACAGCAGUAGGGCAUCUUCGGCAAUAGGCGGAAGUCUGACCGCGCAACGCCGCGUGAGUGUAGAAGGGUUUCGGAUCGUAAAGCUCUGUUGUAAGAGAAGAGCGGGUGUGAGAGUGGAGAGUUCACGCUGUGACGGUAUCUUAGCAGAAAGGGACGGCUAACUACGUG
rnacentral:rRNA from 1 species